rnacentral:ncRNA from 2 species
AGAUUGAAAUUUCUCCGAGCCAUUUGACCUACGGAUCUUCUAAGGCAAAUGGCCGACAGGGUAUAGGUGGAAACGCCUACGCCUCCCGAGAUUGGAAAGGAGAAUCUUGCUUAAAGAA